AACGAACGCUGGCGGCAGGCUUAACACAUGCAAGUCGAGCGCCCCGCAAGGGGAGCGGCAGACGGGUGAGUAACGCGUGGGAAUCUACCCAUCUCUACGGAAUAACGCAUGGAAACGUGUGCUAAUACCGUAUACGUCCUUCGGGAGAAAGAUUUAUCGGAGAUGGAUGAGCCCGCGUUGGAUUAGCUAGUUGGUGGGGUAAAGGCCUACCAAGGCGACGAUCCAUAGCUGGUCUGAGAGGAUGAUCAGCCACACUGGGACGGAGACACGGCCCAGACUCCUACGGGAGGCAGCAGUGGGGAAUAUUGGACAAUGGGCGCAAGCCUGAUCCAGCCAUGCCGCGUGAGUGAUGUAGGCCCUAGGGUUGUAAAGCUCUUUCACCGGUGAAGAUAAUGACGGUAACCGGAGAAGAAGCCCCGGCUAACUUCGUGCCAGCCGCCGCCGUAAGAC
rnacentral:rRNA from 1 species